rnacentral:misc_RNA from 1 species
CCGAGUAUACUACUCAUAACCCUUUGUGAACCAUUAUUGUUGCUUCGGCGGCUCGCCUCCGGGUGAGCCCGCCGGUAUACCAGUCUCUUUAUUUGAACCCGACGAUACAUCUGAGUGUUCUUACGAACUAUUA